UCCACUUCCGGCUUCUCUAGCUACCGUAGCAAGUCGCCGCCCUCCGGAAUCCGUCGUGUCUCAGGACGAGGCUGCGGUUUCCCCUUCCGGGGCAUAGGGCAGCACCUGGAGCUGCUGCCAGGCUAGGGGUCUUGACCCUAGAGGGAAAAGCUUGGAAAAUAUGAGCAACUCCACCUCCAAAGGACAGCAUGCGGCUCAUGAACUCAGGAAGACACAGCCCUGCCCUGCCCAGAAGAGCUCAGUCUAAGAACAGGAGACAGAGCAGUUAUUUGAGCUUGUACAGUCUCAUGAUUUCCUCCUGUAGAUCUUGAAUAGGAUAGGUGAGAGCAUGGUGCCUCUGGAGCCCCACAGGUGAAUGAUCUGCUGAAGACCAGUACUUCAUCACUCUGAACGCAGGCUGCAAAGAAGAAUCGGUAGAAUCUUAGAGCAUUCUCUUCCAGGCCUGUAUUAGUGCGGUACACUGCAGCUGACCGUACCAGGUGCCACAGAGGGUCUGAGGGUCAUGCAAAUAGGCACCCUUGCCUUGUGUGGGGAUAGGAGGAGGUCACUGAUGCCAUUUCUGCUCUAUGAUCUGGCUGGGAGCUGAACUGGGAAGAUUCCUGUAUAUUGGGGAUCGACAGGUGAAGUUGGAGAUGUCUCUUCCCUUUCCUGGCCUUCCAGAUUUCCUCCUUCCACGUGCUCUGCCUCCCUUCACUUCAGACUGAGCCCUUGCAAGAUGCCCAGUGCCCACAGGGACAUGCUUCAACCAAGCUGGAGGCUGAUGGCUGGCACUGAGCUAUACUGAUGUGCUGUUGCCAGCAUUCCCCACUGGCAGCACAUUGUAAAUCCUGACCUACCCUGGUUUUGAAUGGUUGGCAGUUACCCAAUGUUCCCAACGUCACUCUUGGUACGGUCCAUUAAAUCUAUGUUCCCCCAUGCUGAUUGUGAGCUCUCCCUUGCAGUAUGGGUGUUUAUUAACAGCGGCUGGUCUCUCUUCUCUGUGCCCCCCAUGUCUCAGAGGGUUCGAUUGGUCCAUAAUAGCUCACGUUCUCUCUCUAAAGCAGUUAUUCCCGGAAGUGAGUGUGCAUGCACAUGGUGAAGGAGUGCAGGCGAGGCACAUGCGCAGGAAGGGAUGGUAGGAAGGUCAAGGCAUUUGGCAAUCUAGGUCUUGGCCUGCCAAAGCUGUGCUCUGUGGAAACUAAACCUAUCAAGCAAAUUGCUCUCAGGAAAGGGAAGAGUACGGUCAGCCUGAAAGCCAGCUGUGUGUUGCUAUGGUGCAUCACAUUGUUGCCAGCUGUCACUUGUUAGAAUGAAAGUUGCUUUUACUCUCAGUCUUUAAGGGGAUACAUCUUUAUUUGAAGUACCCACAGCAGUGGGCAGAGCGGGGUGACAGCUAAUUUUGGUGCAGUCUUUUGCAAACUGGUGUUCUUUUAAAGAAAGCGGAAGUUUCAUGGACUGACAGCUACAGUGCUGGUGGGUUGGUUUCUUGGCUGGGUGUGUGACCACUAGGUGUCACUGCAGGCUUGUGUACAAACAAAAAGCCACCGAAUAAUUUCCACAUAUUGUUCAUUUGCUGCAGUUGUAAUUUAGUCUUCUAGGGCCAUUUAUCAUAAAGCCGUCUGCUCUCUUAUUCCAUGGCUGAAGGCUGCUAGAGUAUGUCUCACUACGCUCCUGGGAGGAUCAAAGUACUGGAGUUGAUUUCACUAAAAGCUGUCACAGCACAUUAUUGGAGCACAUUUUAUUAAAGUUCAUUUUCCAGACUUAAAUUUAA